UUUUUCUGUAACAACAAAUCUGUUAAUUUGAUACGAUUCUAGCGAUCUGGCAACAUUUUUCAAUAAGAACCCAUCCUUCCUCAACAUUUUAUUAGCGUGCAUCGGAUAAGCAGGAAAAAUCCCUGACUGGAAAAACAAUCAUCGAAAGUAUCUGCUCGACGAGCCGAAAUCUUACGGAAUCGGACCACAUUCGGAUGGAAUUUCCGACUGGGCAUUGUUUUGCCUUUUUGAUGCGAAAAAGUUGGCAGCAAUCUCAACGGAAAAUUUUGACAAGACGUCAUUAAAAGUUCCGGUGAAAAGGUGGUUGGUGGACGCCGCGCGAAGAGUUUCGCAAAAAAUUAAAUAAGUGGCCAGUAAAGCGUGUGAGCCUUUCUUCAAAGCCCCAGAAAAGGGAAAAUCGUUGCUCCACGGGGACUAGAAGGCAUCUCGGCUGAAAAAUCCGGCAAUCGCUAGAGUGGCUAGGCCAGAGCUCAGGACAACGGGACGGGUCAGAGGAAAACCAAACGUCCACACAGUGUCCGAAUGCUCAAGCCAAGUGCUCGCCCGGGCCACAGACACGCUCUGAAAAGAACCGAAAUAACGGAGAAGGGGUCGGAAGUCCGACCCCUUUUUGGCAAAUUCUUCUUCUUUUGGCCAACUCUACAGGGCCUAGUAGGUGACAAAGCCUUCGCCACGUGGCCUCCACACCUUCCACACAUCAACCACCAUUCAUCUGGCGAGCCCAGCUGCACAACAUCCUCACCGGAACAGGCUGCACAGCUACAAGGGCCGCAUUCAAGAUUCCGGUCACUUCCGUCUCGCUACUUCAGUGGCGACGAAUUCCGGGAAACAGCAGCCGAAUUCGAGCGGGUUCAUUCGCCGCUCAAGUGGCGGAAUCGCGGUUAUUCAGCCUGCCGAAUCCAAGCGCAGCAGAUCGCUGAACGUGAGGUAAGAAUCCCGCCAAGUCUGCCGAAUCCGAUCACCGCAUCCGUGGUGGAAGUCCGGCAAUUCAGCGACCGAAUCUGAAGGAAUCCCGAACGCCGCACCAGUGGCGUGAGAUCCGGUGGAACCUCCGCCGUAACUAAGCGCUUCAGGUCGCCGCACCAGUGGCGAGUAAGCCCGGAGACGAUUGCCGAAUUCACCUGCCAUCGAUCGUCGAUCCGGUGGAAAAUCGCGGCGAAUCGGUGCGAUUAGGAUCGCUCUUCAUCGCCGCAUCCGAGACGAGGAUCACCUGGUGGGACAGCAGCCAAUCGGGUUCGCUUUCGUCGCCGCACUAGUGGCGAAAGAAUACCGGCGGUAUUGCAGCCGAACCGAAGCGAAUUUCGUCGCUGCGGCAGGGGCCAACAUUAGCGCCGCACUGGUGGCGUAGAAAUCCCGACGAAUCAGGGCCAAAUUCAUUCGCUUUCGUCGCCGCACCGGUGGCGAAGUAUCCUGGGGCACUGCUGCCGAGCAGGACCAAGUUUUAUCGCCGCAGCAGGGGCAAGCAUUUGGUGGCACAGCCGCCGACAAGUUUCGCUCGUCGUCGCCGCACCAGUGGCGAAAGAAUCCUGGGGUACCGCGGUCGAUCCGGACCGAAGUUCCUUGGCUCAUCAGGGGCGAACAUCCGCCGAAUCCGAGGGCGUUCAAUCGUCGCAUAGUGGCGAAUAUCCGGUGGGCCGCGUCAGGGGCAAAUAGUCGGCAGCACAGCCGCCGCAUCUGUGGCGAGAAUCCCGGUGGACAGGUGCCGAAUCAGAGGGCAGCAGAUCGCCGCACCCGUGGCGAAAUCUCGGUGGCACAGCCGCCGAAUUCGUUGGUAGCGCGUCGCCGCCUCGGUGGCGAAUAUCCGGAGGAACAGCUGACAAUCCGGGCCGAAUUCCAUCGCCGCAUCAGGGGCGAACAUCCGGCGCACUGGUUCCGAGUCCGUGCAUAGCAGAUAGCCACACCGAGGCGGGAGAUCUUGGUGGUUCCGGCGCCGAAUCCGUUCGCCAGUGACCGCCGCGCCAGCGGCAGAAAUCCGGUGGCAAAACCGUCAAGUCGGACCAAAUUCUGAUCGCCGCAGCAGGCGAAGAACAAUCGGUGCAUCAGCCGCCGAAGCCGACUGUCUUCGAUCGCCGCAUCCGUGUACAGCAAAACGCCGCACCCGAGGCGGGAGCAAUUUAGGCCGAGGAGGAAGCACAUUGGAAGCUUGUGAAAAGAGUGAGUACACGCUAUUUUGGGGAUAAUGGGAGGGAUGAGUUACAAAAAUGUUGCCCAAUACACGCAAAAUUAUCUCUCGCAAUUUCGCAAUCUUAAUUCUUUUAUUUGUGGCACCGACCACGAUCAGCCUUCGUCACAAAUGGCGCCCAACUAAAUCGAACCGCAUUAUUUUGUUCGAUA